CUCCAGAUGUUGCUGAACUACAACUCCCAUGAUUCUCAGCUUAUCUAUUUCAUUCAAAGAAUCAUGGGAGUUGUAGUUCAGCAACAUCUGGAG